AACGCGAAGAACCUUACCAGGGCUUGACAUCCUGCGCUCACCUAAGAGAUUAGGUUUCCCAGCAAUGGGACGCAGAGACAGGUGCUGCAUGGCUGUCGUCAGCUCGUGCCGUGAGGUGUUGGGUUAAGUCCCGCAACGAGCGCAACCCUUGCCGUGUGUUGGUCCACAAGACCUCUCACGCGGGACCGCCGGUGACAAGCCGGAGGAAGGUGGGGAUGACGUCAAGUCAGCAUGGCCCUUACGUCCUGGGCUACACACGUGCUACAAUGGAAUGGACAACGAGUCGCGAACCAGCGAUGGUAAGCUAAUCUCCUAAACCAUUUCUCAGUUCGGAUUGGAGGCUGCAACUCGCCUCCAUGAAGUCGGAAUCGCUAGUAACCGCAGAUCAGCUACGCUGCGGUGAAUACGUUCCCGGGCCUUGUA
rnacentral:rRNA from 1 species